UACGAAGGGGGCUAGCGUUGCUCGGAAUUACUGGGCGUAAAGCGCACGUAGGCGGCUUGUUAAGUCAGGGGUGAAAUCCUGGAGUUCAACUCCAGAACUGCCUUUGAUACUGGCGAGCUUGAGUUCGGGAGAGGUGAGUGGAACUGCGAGUGUAGAGGUGAAAUUCGUAGAUAUUCGCAAGAACACCAGUGGCGAAGGCGGCUCACUGGCCCGAUACUGACGCUGAGGUGCGAAAGCGUGGGGAGCAAACAGG
rnacentral:rRNA from 1 species